UACGUAGGGUGCGAGCGUUGCCCGGAUUUAUUGGGCGUAAAGGGCGUGUAGGCGGUCACGCACGUCCGUUGUGAAAUCGCUCGGCUCAACUGGGCGGGGUCAGCGGAUACGGCGUGGCUGGAGCAAGCUAGGGGGCAAUGGAAUUCCCGGUGUAGUGGUGGAAUGCGUAGAUAUCGGGAGGAACACCAGUGGCGAAGGCGGUUGCCUGGAGCUUUGCUGACGCUGAUGCGCGAAAGCGUGGGGAGCGAUCCGG
rnacentral:rRNA from 1 species